UGGGGAAUAUUGGACAAUGGGCGCAAGCCUGAUCCAGCCAUGCCGCGUGAGUGAUGAAGGCCUUAGGGUUGUAAAGCUCUUUCGCCGACGAAGAUAAUGACGGUAGUCGGAGAAGAAGCCCUGGCUAACUUCGUGCCAGCAGCCGCGGUAAUACGAAGGGGGCUAGCGUUGUUCGGAAUCACUGGGCGUAAAGCGCACGUAGGCGGAUUGUUAAGUCAGGGGUGAAAGCCUGGAGCUCAACUCCAGAACUGCCCUUGAUACUGGCAAUCUCGAGUCCGGAAGAGGUAAGUGGAACUGCGAGUGUAGAGGUGAAAUUCGUAGAUAUUCGCAAGAACACCAGUGGCGAAGGCGGCUUACUGGUCCGGUACUGACGCUGAGGUGCGAAAAGCGUGGGGAGCAAAACAGGAUUAGAUACCCUGGUAGUCCACGCCGUAAACGAUGGAGGCUAGCCGUUGGCGAGCAUGCUCGUCAGUGGCGCAGCUAACGC
rnacentral:rRNA from 1 species